AGCAGCCGCGGUAAUUCCAGCUCCAAUAGCGUAUAUUAAAGUUGUUGCAGUUAAAAAGCUCGUAGUUGAAUUUCGGGGUUAGUAGAUUGGUCAUGCCUCUGGUAUGCACUGGUCUUACUGAUUCCUCCUUCCUGAUGAACCGUAAUGCCAUUAAUUUGGUGUUGCGGGGAAUUUGGACUGUUACUUUGAAAAAAUUAGAGUGUUUAAAGCAGGCUAACGCUUGAAUACAUUAGCAUGGAUAAUGGAAUAGGACGUUCGAUCCUAUUUUGUUGGUUUCUAGGAUUGACGUAAUGAUUAAUAGGGAUAGUUGGGGGCAUUAGUAUUCAAUUGUCAGAAGUGAAAUUCUUGGAUUAUUGAAGACUAACUACUGCGAAAGCAUUUGCCAAGGAUGCUUUCAUUAA
rnacentral:rRNA from 1 species